GGAACCAUGGCCAUCUGGCUCUUAUUUCCAAGCCAUUGAAACAGCUCUACUCCAUGCUCACCUGAGAGGAGGUUGGCUAAUCAAGUCUGCAGAGCCUUUCACCCUGUCCUAUGUGACAUUUUGGAUGCAUUCAUAAAUGGUGAUUUUCCUACGGGUUGGUUUCUGCUACAUCAGUGUAUAGAGAAGCUGAACAUUUCAGCCCUUCCGUGGUGACAGAUCACCAAGAAAGAAGUUUUAUUGCUGAAGAAUAUUAGCUUCAUGAGAGAAGGGAUCUUGUCUGUCUUAUUCACCACUGAAACUCCAGCACCUAGAAGAGUGUGAAAGGACUAUGAAGUGAUGGACAAAUUGCUCUGCACACUGGAUUUAAUUUAGUCAUGGGCUAGAUGAGGUGGAGGCCACACCCAUCACUUAAAACUUCAUUCCUCCAAGUGGUUCAACGGCUCUCCACUCUCAUUCAUUAUGUUUUGCUUUAUUUUUCAACUGGGCAUCAAUUCUUUAAGGAUAAAGGAGAAUAACUGUUACGGUUCCA
rnacentral:lncRNA from 1 species